UUGUCUGUUUAUAAUCCAAACUGUUAAUCUCCUUUUAGGAAACCUGUCAUUGAAGUGUGAUAUGAUGUUUGGUCUUCUCCAGUGAAUGGCACAUAUUCUAGUUAUAAGAGUCUCAAAAGGAGUCUGUGUUCAGACAGAAGAACAAAGCAGAGGGCUUCUGCAUCCCUUCAUAUUGAUGUCCACUGUAAGUUUUCUAUUUCUGCUGCUAAUCAAAUAGAACUGUGAUAGCUCGUUCUCCAGGGGUCU
rnacentral:lncRNA from 1 species